AGGGUUGUGGCUCAGUGGUAGAGCACUUGCCUAGCAUGCGUGAAGCACUAAGUUCAAUUCUCAACACUG
rnacentral:tRNA from 1 species